AUGAAGCAACUAGCUUAUAAAAAGUGUGAAACGAACUAUUCGUUCUAUUUGCGAUCCAGCAGUUGCUAAAACAAAUAUUAGAUGAGUUUUUCGCUAACAACGUUUCGUAAUGUAACAAAUUUUGAACGUAGUUUGAUAGUAGAUCUCAUCACAAGAUAAAUUCUUUUUUAA
ensembl:snoRNA snoRNA:lola-c